CCAGCAGGGAGAGGCUCACAAGGAAGGGAAGAACUUGUAUGGAGUUGCCAGAGGGAUACUUACUACCUUUGGGAUUAUAAGCCUUUCCCCCCACCCUGGAUUUUUGCAUUUUUGCUGUGUUUUUUUAUGGGUGCUUUAAGUGAUGCAGUGGGACAAGCACAACAAGCUUGAAGGACUAAAAGCUCAGGACAAAGAAAAGGUUUUUUCGUGGCACUGUCAUUUCUGCUGUCCUCCUACCAAGAAGAUGACUGCAGUACUUUAUGGCUUCCCUACCCUUCCAUCAACCUUGGGAUGUUUAUUUUUCUUCAAACAUAGCUGUUUGCAGCAUGCUAACAAGAACUGAAGAUCUUUUAACACUGCUAUUUGUUUACUGAAGACAUCAAAGCCUUUUUUUCCACGAGCCUCCUUUGAGCCGGUACAAUCUGCAAACAGCCCUGCAACACCGAGGUGUGUUUUGUGCCUCCAAAAUAAAACCAUAGUGCACCGUGAAGAUACAGGUAUUUUCUUAUCUCAGGUUCUAAACUUAGCUCUGCUUCAUCCCUCAUUCCUCAGCUCCUCAAACUGUUUGCCCCCAGCCCAGAGCCCUGCAGGUCCAGCAGACCUUCCUGCUGCCUUCCAGUUGGGUGGAGGGACACAGCUGCCAACGUGGACUGUGGCAGGGAUAGCAGCUAAUCUAAAACAAAUAUUUUGCAACGGCUAUGAGCAGAAGCAUUUCCCUGUUUUACUUUGAUGGCCGAGAUGCUAACGGGAAGCAGCGCUCCAUUAUUUAGUGUUAGGUCCUGUCAGCUUUCAGUUCAGACACAGCCUGUGGGUGCUGGGAAAUACACAGUGCAGGAAAUGACAGAUGUUGGCAGCAAAAUAAAUAACAAGAGCUGCUGAAAAUAAAGUCCUAAGAAAUGCUGGUGUAUCCUUUUUAUGGAUUUCCUAGAUACAUUGAGGCUAUUUUAAGGCAGAUUGAACUCCCACUCCUUACAGUGUAAACAGGAUUAUUCCCUCUGUGGGACAUAUGGCAGCCCAGACGUCAUCAUUUGUGCAUCACUGGUAUUCCCAGUCAUGUUUCACGUUUUGCCUCACCCUAAACACACAUCACAUCAUUCAGAGCCUCCCAGCAGCCUUCAGGGAGCAUUAAACAGUCCCAGUACAUCCCAAAAAACAUCUCCAUGGAGGACAACCUAAAGGCUGGCCACAGAGAAGGACCUACUGGAGUGGAACCAAGAGAUCAGCUCCCUCAGGUCAGCUGUGGUAUGGACAACAGGAAGAAAAGGACAGCAGAGGAGGAGGAUGGAACAAGGGCUGACCAAUGGGGGUUUUAUUCCACAAUGAAGUAACUUGCCCUGAGAUGCAUUGGUUGCAUUGGAUGCACCCUGAG